GCAGCCGGAGGCGGUGCUGAGGGGAGUCGAGGAGGGAUGGAGGGCGGGUGAGCGAGGGUUUAAUUCGUCCGUGCUUCAGGUGGGCCGGGGGCUCCGCUCUUCACCGUAUGGGCUCUCGGCUCGGCGCGAAGGAGCGGGUAGCGCUGAGGCGGCGGGAAGGCGGCUUGCCCAGUCAGUCAGUCAGUCAGUCAGUCAGUCAGUCAGUCAGUCAGUCACCGUGCUCGUCAGCAGCUCUGCUUCACAGGGAAGAACUCCAGGGAGUUUUGCAGGAAAUGCUAGUGAUGCGUACAUGGCAACCAGCAGGUCAGGAGAGCCGGUAUAGAGAGGAAUGGGAGCAGCUGAAAAUAGCUGAAAACAAGAAAAGAACAGAAAAGGUGCGGGUGGACUCGCUGUGCCAUCUGAAGAUGUUUUGUUUAACUCAAAAUUAUCUGUUGCCUUUUAAUGGAAUCCUACCUGGGAGCUGAAACUGGACGUAGAGCUCAGAUCUGCCCGUCAGUGAACAAUGUGUUCCAGUGAUGAGGAAACCCUCCGCUGUCCGUGAAUGCAGGGAAAGAGUGCUCUGGAACUGCACUGUGUUCCUCCACCUCAAGUAAGAGCUGUUGCCUGCUACAGCAUCAGAUGUGAUGCCACUUUUUCCUAAGGAUCAUGCUGUGUUUUGAGUUUGCUUUGGUUGGGGAUGCAAGAAGUUGCCUGAGAGUUGUUCUCAGCCUCCUCCCGCACCGGGCUCUGCAGUCUCGUGGUGGCUCUGAUGACUUCACUCUCCUGCUGUGGCUCAGCACGACAGCCCGUAGCUGGUAAAUAAUGUGUCUAUAUGUAGAAUAACAGAACCAGCAAAGAACGGUAAGGAGAAGGUUUUGAAUAAGCGUCAACAACGUAGAACAGGUCAUUUCACUAGCAACUCAUGCUUUACAGCAGUUAAUUCUAUUCUAAAUGGAUAGAUUAAUAUUCCUAUACUCAAUAGUUGUAACUCAUUUAAUUCCUCUCUGGUUAACACAAGACAAACUGAUGUAUUUUGGGGAUAACAACUGGACCUAUAUUUUGCGUAGAAUUUUCAGUUCUCUAGUUUUGCUUUGAGAAGUUUUCAAUAUAGUCUAAAAUAUAUAAACUGGCUUAAAUCUUCUUACAUGAAAAUUUUCUAGAAUAUAUUUAACAAGUAAUGAUUUUAAGCAAGUGCUUCAUCGAAGCAUGACACGUGAUUUGCCAAACAGACUUAUGACUAAGCCAACACAUAGUUUGUUCAGUGGGACCAAAAUUUGUUCCAGUGUGAUUCAUCAAUGAGUAAGAACGAUGCUAUCUGGCAUUUUAAUCUAAGUGCAGAUUUGAAUAAUGACCUGGAUUUUUGGAGGAGCAGCUAGCUAAGCAAGAAAAGGAAAAGAAAAAAGAAAAACAACUAUAAAGAAUUCUGUAGUUGAUAUCAUUACCUAUUUUCAGCUAUGUGAGUCAGUGAGCUAUCACAUGGAUUUGCACAGAAAUAUCAAAGCAAAUCCCACUUCAAACCCACACCACUUCCCAAUAUAUACCCUCACUCAUCAAUUCCAACAAACCGAGUUAACAUAUGUUUGUCUGAAAUACAAGCGUAUAACAGAUCAGAACUACAGCAACAAUUAACUGUCUUAAAACAAAGACUAAUAGCUGAACUGAGAAGAAAUACGCAAUCACCAAAUGACAUUUGCUGACAUCAAUAAGAAGAGUCUGUAACAUACGCAGAGAUCGAAGGUGGCAAAUUUUUUUGCAAAAUUGGGCAAGAAGAUUCUAAAAAGACAGCGAUAGUAACUUGUAUAAAUAUUCUUUAGUAACAACGAUUGAAUCAGCUACAGCUGUCAUGAAAAGACUGAAAUCCAACAUAUUUCUUCAAUCUUAUAAACUUCCUGUGGUAUAAAUACGAGGUACCUCUGGAUUCGUGAGAGAAUCGUUAUUUGUAGCAGUCUGUAUUUUGAAACAUAAAGCCAGUUACUGUGGCAGGGCAAAACACAACUCAGGCUGUUAUAGGAUAUUUCCACUAAAUUGUGUCCCAGCAGAAGAUGAAGCUUUGACAAAAUUUCAUUUUUUUUUUCCAGAAUGUUCUAUAAUUUAUUGCACAGUGAUGUGGAAAAGCAACUGCUUGUCCAAUACUGGACAGCAGAGCAAGAAGACGUUGUAAUGUGGUAAAGCCAAUACUCCUAACAACAUAAGCAAUACUGAAAAUCAGAUCUUCUCACUUCUUGACUGUGCUCUUAUUUGAGCAAGAUCACACAACAAAACAAAUGAAAGAAAAUAAGUGAUGCUCACUGUGGCUUUUGUUGAGAAAUACUCUUAUCAACUGCCUUUGGUCUGCAGCUGAUCUAGCUGUGGAUGGGCUCAGAAGAGAGGAUAGCUGAAACCCUCCAAAGAUGGAAAUCCCAACGAGGGAGGCACACAUACCAUGUUAUUCAGGGACAAAAUGGACUGUGCUAUGCGGCUUCUUAAGAACCAGCUGGAGCUGUUCUGAAAGUCCCAUGCUACAAAUAAACUUAUCUCAGUACUGCAGGCAAUAGGUGCUGUAGAAAUAGUACUGCUGGGCAUGUUCCUCAACGAGGAGAUCAGGUUUCUGCUUCUGUCCUGGGACUCCAAAUACAGAAGUCAGUCACCAGUCCAGUGAUCACCUCAAUCACCUGCAUGCCUUAUAGCACUAUGUUUUGUUGUACCAGUUUGCUGUAUUCAUACUUUACAGUCUGAAACCUAGUGUCAGAUACUAGCUCCUAAGAUGUAUGUAUAUAUGAGUAUAUAAGAAGUGUGAGCAGUUGAUGAGAGGGGCUUGGCUAGGUUGGUUGAGAGCAGGGAGAAGUUCAGCUUAUUUUGCUAUGGAGAACAGACUGUGGAUGUGACAUGCCUCUAGAAGAUGCUCCGGGAGAAUAUAUUAAGAAAAGCUUCUCUAAAGUCACUGAAAAACUGAACAGAUGCAAUUGUCUACAGGGUUUAAGUAAGAGCUUAUUCAAGUUUCAAACAAAAAAGAUAAUGUGAAACUUCAGUUAAAAGGAGCUAUUUCCAAGAAUAGCAGAGAAGAACAACUCAGGCUGUUGUUUAUUUACUUGAAAAUAAUGGGCCCUGAUGUCUUUCUGUAGCAGUAAUAUCAGAGCUUUAAAAGAAACCUUGUUUUCUAACUUGCAUUUUUCUGAGAAAAGCAAACUUCAAGAGUUCUAAUCUAUUUGCACGAUCCAGAAACAAGCAGAAUAGAAUGCUGACUUCUGGUCAGGAGGUGUGCUUUGCAUGGCUUUUGCUUUACUGAAGAACAAAGCUGAAGCGAACCCUUUUGACUUAGGAGACUUCUACCUCAUGGAAAUUCUCAAGGAGAAAUCUCCUUCUGGUAAGAGAUCAUAAAAAAUCCACAAGCAACUAUGUCAGCCUCAUAGCAAAAGGCCUCAUAGAAUCAUUGAAUCACUAAGGCUGGAGACGAGAGCUCUGUAACACAUUUAUUGGUCAUGUUUCAGGAAGAACCUUAGCAUUGUCCAUUCAGAUUACCAAAAUGAUGACCCAAAAGUUGGACUCAACUCAUACUGAUGGCUAAAAUGUAAUGAAAAAAUUUGUUAUCUGCUCUACUGUUCCGGCCCCAAGAGAGCUUCACUCCAAACCCACAAAACCAGAGGUUCACAUUUACGUGGCUACAGCAUUAUUUACAUUUACCUGCAACUGCUCCAAACGCAUCCCAGAAGUGUCAGUGUCUUAAACAUGAGGUUCUGUUUACAGCAAUUUAAUUAAUUAUCACCAAUUUUCAAAUAAUCAGAUCUAAGUGCAGGCACUGAAGGCACCUGCUGGCCCCACCGCUGCCCGUCCCCUUGUCCCGAGGUGGGGAUGGCCCAGCUUGCUGCCAGCACAUGUCCCUGAACCUGCGGAACGGAUGCGUUUGCUCUUCUAAAGAUAUUUCUUAUUUUCAAGAUGUUCAUCUCCUGAAAGUUUUAGGGUCAAAAAUCAAUAGGCCAAUUACACUUCCGUCUGGUAAAUAACUGUGUCCAUUUUGCUGCAGGUUCAAUUAUCUUUGUGAUGCACUUCAUUCGCUCUUGCUGCUUAAUCCAUUAUUUUAUUAGAUACUUAAGACAUCCGUGUAAGACAGCUAAUAAGAGGAUCACUGUAAAUAAUUGGUGGCAACAUCUUCAUAUUAAAACUAAUUAAUAGAAAUGUGACAUUCGUGUCCUUUGGAAUUUGGCUCGCUUUCAACUUCUUGCUGACAGUACGAGCAAUCACUAAAAUAUACAUGGAGAUGCUUUGAGGUUUGUUAGAAACUCACUUUGCCUAUUUUACAUUUAUGCAUUGCUUAACAGGAAAUGAUCACUUCUGAAGUAAAAGCACAGAGGAUUCUGCUCCUGAGGGCCAUUGCAUAUCCCAGCCCCACACAGCCGAGAGCUCAGACGGGGGACCAGAGCGAUAGCAUCUCGCAGUACAGAUUCCAUAAUUAAUUUUAAUUCCUUUAAUUAAGUAUUUAGUCUUUGGGGAAGGAGUAUGAAAAAGUUGCUUCAUAAACUGACAAUGGGCAAUUGUUCUAAGUUUCUUAUCCUGCAGGCACACAGGAUAAUGAGAGCUAUAGAAAUAGUUGGGCAGAUUGAUUGCAUGGAGCAGAUAGGAAUCCCCUGGCACAGUCCUCUCAUAAGUUUUCAGAGUCACAGGCACCUCCCAGCAUUUCCAGUGAACAUCACUGUUCCCCCGUGUUGCAAGAAGUUAAACUAGCUUUGUCUGAGUGCAGCUACUGGGGGACAAAUAUGAGAACACUGAAAUGAAAGAAAUACAGAAGAAAAUGGACAAAUGAGACAGAAUUGCCACUAUUUUCAGCAAGACCAGUGCAGUUCAAAAUAAAAAUCUGGAGACAUCUGUAAUUUCAGAUUCAAGGGGAGAUCUUAAGAGAUUUAUAUCCAGAUGCAUUUUCCCUGCACAUGUGAAAGAAAUCUUUACAGAGUGACUCAGAAACUAUCCUGUAUGAUAUCGCGUGCAUGUGCCAGAUCAGGAGGUGGCAGUGGGAAAAUGGCCACUACUCACAUCUAUUGGACUCCUUGGCUUCAGUGUGUGGAGGCUCACUUCAGCACUACAGUUUCUCUGGAAAGACAAAUUCUCAUUUGAAGCCUUACAGCUUGGGUAGUUAAUGCGGCUGCCGACUUAACCUCAUCCCUUCAUCAAACAUUACAUCAACAAAGAGCAGAAGUUGGGGAAAUAAUGUUAUCAAAAGUCUAAUAUCAAAACUCACAAUACUUUUCCCAAACAUAUGUAAAAAUAAAAUGAUAUAAAAGAAAGCCAACAGAUGUAGUGUCAUAUGGACUUGCUUAAUGGCAAUACUUAGCCUUUCAAAAAAAGAUUUAUAUCUACAUUCACUACUAAAACCUGACAUUUGUAUUGAAUAAUUCAUAAUUUGUUGCUUUCUGAGCUUUGCUGCCUUCCUUAUAUGCAUGAAUCGAAGUAAUGUUAUCUCUGCUCUUAGGAAAGGAGAUCAAUCUGUACAUAUGCAGAUAUUUUUGUUGUUCUGUAGGGCAUAAAUACAUGUUUGCCUAAGCCAAUGCUAAAAAUUCCUCUUUGCCUAUAACAGAAAUGCUCUGUACAGAUUUAAUUUGCAACAUGACUGCACUUCCAACUAAUUCUCCCAGGAUUCUCCUAAGUAUUUUGGUAACAAUCACAUGUAGCUUGGACAUGUGUUCCCUUGCCUCCCUGUGCCUCAUUUUAAGACAAACUCACCACCCUUUACUCUUCUCAAAACUGCAAACAAGAUCUCUGCCAAGGCUCUUCCACCCUUCCACCUUUUACAGCUUCUCACCUCCCACUCUGCUCUGACCUCAGCACGGAAAGGAUUUGAAGCAUUUGAAGAUACCCUUGGAUUCAGGAUCUACACAGAACUUCAGCAAAGUGAGUGUCUAAGCAGGAGCCAACUUGCUGUUUUUGUUACUUUACUGUCCUGUUGUUUCUAGUACCAGCUUUGCAGAUAUUACAGACGCAAAUACCACACUUGUACUUUUAUCUCCUGAAGUUUGUACUUUUAAAAAGAUAAUUUUAAUUCUAAGGCAUUAUUGUCUAUUUCAACCAUUCUAUCAUAGCCAAGUUAUCAACCAUAAAGGUCAAGGGAACACUGUCUUUUUCUUGAUGCUUCAUCUGCAACUGAGAGAAGCAAACAGGGUGCUCUGGCUGACCUGCUGCUGCCCUCCCAGGCCAUUUGUCUUCUUUCCCAUUUUUCAAGGAAAAUUUUCUUAUUUAACUCAGACCAACAGAUAAAAUAGUGCAACAUCAAUUUUUCUGCUACCAUAGCACACGCUGUAGCACCUAAAACUUUCCUGCUUCUCUCUAGAUGGGAGUUCCUAGGAGUAAGUUCCUUCCUAAAGCUUGCAGAGCAGCCUGGGGCAGUCCCUGACUGAUUUGCACACCUGGAGACAGAGCCCUGUUCUGCAUCCUGCCCUGAAGACUUCACCCAGUGAACCAAUAGCCACAAACUCAAAGCACGGGUCUCUAAUAACAAGUCUUUCACCGUGGUUUCUUAUUUAUUUAUUUUUAUAUUUAUUUAUUUAAGUGCCUUCUCUAUUCCAGCUUAUACUGCUUUUAGCUCAGUUUCUACUUAAAAUAUCACAUACGUGGUCAGACUUUAAUUAUGCAAAAGGAGCCCUUGCAGCUUGUGCCAGCACAGCUUCAGCUCUUCAGAGCAGCACAGGACAAUCCCUCUGUUCAUGGAGCUCAGGGGGAUGUCUGUUAUUCUCCUCACUGCUUUAUGAGUAUUCCUGGUAACCCAUAAGGGUGUGUGAGCCCAUGCCUGGCUCGUAAGGGCCAAUAACCUUCAUAACUUAAAAAGCAAGUUAACAGAAAGGAUGUCAUGAUGUUAGCUGAAAUCCCAAGUGCUCCAUUUUCCUAAUUUCAUAGAACCAUGGAAUUAUGAAGGUUGGAAAAGUCCUCUGAGAUCCCCAUGCCCAACCCCACCCACCCCACCAUGCCCACUGCCCCCGUCCCUCAGUGCCACAUCCCCACGGCUCUGGGACACCUCCAGGUUACGAUGACCCCCCACUCCCUGGGCAGCUGUGCCAAUAUCCGAUCUGAAUUUGUAUAAAUGUCAUUUGUUAUAGCAUAAAUUAUUGAAUUUCUGGAAAGGAACAGCAAGCGUGAGACAAGCGGGUGUUGUCAGCAACUGAAACGAAGAACAGCUGUCCUGGGGUGGAAUCAACAGUAGCAGCGUAAGCAAGAUACUGAAAAAGAUUUGUGUCUAGAUAUUUUUAACUAUAGUUCAUUAUGUUGUUUUUUUCCACUCCAGGUUUCCUGCUUGAAUCCCCUUCACACACCUAACGCUUGUCACCUGCGCUGUAGCUCUGCUGUGUUCUGCAGUAACUGCCUUUCUCUGGGCUGGAACACAAAAGAAGACCCAGUGAAGCCAGUCACUGCUUCUAGGGGUGAAUGUUCACUUUUUGCUCUCUGAAGCAGAGAGGAACUUCCAGGACUGAUCACAGGUUAUGCUCAAGCCUGCAGCGCAGGGCAGCGGAGGGCGGUGGGACUUUCCAGGUCCAAGCAUGUGGGCAGCACGUGGCAGCAGCACCGACAACGUGGCAGCCAACAGUUCCAGGUCUGACCUCUGCAUCUGAGCCUGGAGCAGCCCCGUGAGAUGGGUCUGGGAUUACACCUCUCCGAGCGCUGGGAGCGUGCCCGUGUGUUCUGCAAAACCAAUCUGCAGCUGGCACCGAUCGCGUCGCUGGAGCCCCACUAACAGCCAGCGCGAUGCUCAAUGAC